UAACCCCACCCUCUGUGUGGAGGUUAAAGUGCAUUCAGCGAUGAAUCGGAUCAGCAGCUGUUGUUCUGUGAGCUUCUCCAGAGGUUAUGGUACAUUCAGAGCUCUGUGCAGUCAGACCACCUGCCUGCCUGCGUUACAGCAGCAGCACCAGAGACGGACAGGAAGUUUCACAAUAAAGCAGCAAGAUUUUGAGCAGAAAGCUGGGAGGCUGAAAUCUGCCGGCUGGAAUCGUCCUGCAGCUCCUGACGCUCUGCAAACGGAAAGACCGAGAUGAAGAGGAGGAAGAGGAAGAGGGAGAAGCACCCUGCCACUCAUCAUCCAAGGGCCGGCGAGCAUGGCUGCAGUCUGCAAGCCGUAGGUCACCAGAUCCAUGUUUAAUAACAAACCGUGGAGCAGCAGCGGAGGCCGACGCAGCGCCGUGCGUCGCCGGGCAGGAUGACAGCUCCUUAGCGACGGGAAGCGGUGCCGCUGCUUCAACCCGGUCCCUGCUGAAUGCAUCUGCCUCUCCUCCUUCUCUGCACUUAUGUUCAGUCACUUUGGGUCCAGUGAGUGUCAAGGCAGAGCACAUUUCAGCCCCCUUUAGACAGGGGGCGCUCCACCUGUCGGUAGGCAAUACCUAAAGCCCCUCCCACUAUCAAUAAUAAUAUGUAAAGAAAUAUCAACUUCUAUAAUCUUUUUCCUCCCUUUUAUUCAAUAUUUAAUAAUUAUUACAUUUGUUUAGCACAAGUGCUGCCUCAUCCUAGUCCUGUGACAAUAACAAAUUACGCUGGACAAUAAAUUGUCCCAGAAGUUACUGCGAUAAUCAUUAAUAUUGUUCUUUUGAGACUAUUUUCCAGUAAUAUAAUGGUAGUGGCAUAAUAAUGCAAGAACAAAUUCUCAAAAAUCAGUAACUUUC